AAAAUUUUAUAUAUACAGUAUUUUUAACAAUUAAAGGUAACAUAGUAACUUGAUCAUGCUAUACAAUGACAAUAUGUGGCUGGAAGAGACACAGUACUGCCCCUUUAAAAUAGAAAAAGGAAUUUCUGAUGAUGCAGAAACAGAAAAGAGGCUCUGCUUUCAUCUCCAGAUCAUUUUUCUGCUCCUGACAGGUGCCGACACCGCAGCUCUGGAUAUUUCUCCCAGUUCUCUGCCGCCUCCUCUCAGCAGCCUUUGUGUCAGAUCCCCGAUGGCUUCAACACGCAUCCAUUAGAGCUCUGGAUGAGGCAGCGGCUCGCCUCGUGUCAAAUGAUAAACUGUCUUUGUGUAACGUCUGCUGGAUGACAGCACCGUCUCCAAACAGAAGACAAAAUACUGAGAAAAUGUUGAGGGAAAUUGUUGCAGGACGUCUCAGCAGGACGGUGAAAAACAGAAACUGCUCUCACGAUCAACAGAUCUGUGUCAGAUUUAACAUCUGCGUGCCGCUGCAGCUUUCAUAGCGGUCUGACCGACCUUCAGCAGCACAGACUGAACUCCCCAGCGGCUCGCACAACAAAUGGAGUGUUUUUCUAACAGGAGACGAGGCCUUGAGAAAACACGCUCCCUGUGCACACUGUCAGCUCUGAGAACACGCAGCGCUGUCAGUCCGUCUGAGGCAGAGCCUCCUGGGAGGGUCCGGAAGACCGCAUCAGACUCAGAUAUGUGUCGAGAGCAGAGGUCAGAGGUCAAAGGGGUCUGCAAGGUCUCCACAGCAGGGUGAGGUGUUCCCAGUGGGGACCGCUGCAUACCGACACUGUUUGCUCCACAGAUGAAGCCUUCGGAGUGUGGGAGGUUCUGGUGCUUCUUCAGAAACAACAUGGAGCUGACAGCAGAGGUCGAGAGGAAAGGGAAAAGGAAGCGUUGAGAUUUGGUGGAGGCAGAAAAAACGGUAAAAAUGAGGCGACUUUAACCAGAACCAGGUGAUCAGACGAAAAACUGAAACAAGUCGUAGUUCAGGAUCUAUUACAGGCAGAAGAAGAGGCACCAGGGGCAUCGGGACAAUGCUGGACCAAAGGCCCAACAUUCCUGUGGAUGAUACUUUCAAUGGCGGCGCCAAUUCGAACAUGGUAGCUGACCCAGUCCAGGUCUCCAUGGAGACGUUCCGGUGGGAUAACGCUCCCUACCAACUGCUGCAGAAAUGCCUCAGAAGUGGUUUGAUUUGGCCUUCAAGUUCUCCAGAAUUAAUCAUGGAGGCUCCACUUCCCAACUUCCAGAGCCAGAACCCACAGCGUGCCUUCAGCGGUCCAAUGCGGUCCAGCAGCAGCCGGGUUUGGAGGCAGAGAGACUUUUAAUAACUGAAAUGUGUCCAGAAAGUUCUGGCUAAUCAGUUAAUAAGUUAGCUUAUAACUCUGAUGGAUUUAAAUGUUUUUUAAGUACAAUAAAGUUCAUUGUUUUGCAGUU